rnacentral:rRNA from 1 species
AACGAACGCUGGCGGCAGGCCUAACACAUGCAAGUCGAGCGCCCUUUCGGGGGUGCGGCGGGCGGGUGUGUACCGCGUGGGAAUAUGUGCCUCUCUACGGAAUAGCCUCGGGAGACUGAGAGUAAUACCGUAUACGUCCUGUGGGGGAAAGAUUUAACGGGAAAGGAUUGGCCCGCGUUGGAUUAGGUAGUUGGUGGGGUAAUGGUCUACCAAGCCGACGAUCCAUAGCUGGUCUGAGAGGAUGAUCAGCCACACUGGGACUGAGACACGGCCCAGACUCCUACGGGAGGCAGCAGUGGGGAAUCUUGGACAAUGGGGGCAAGCCUGAUGGAGCCAUGCCGCGUGAGUGAUGAAGGCCUUAGGGUUGUAAAGUUCUUUCAGCUGGGAAGAUAAUGACGGUACCAGCAGAAGAAGCCCCGGCUAACUCCGUG